GGUCCCAUCGUCUAGUGGCUAGGACGGCAGGUUCUCAUCCUGCAAACCCGGGUUCGAUCCCCGGUGGGAUCA
rnacentral:tRNA from 1 species